GAGCGAACAUCUUCUUCAGGCUGUGUUGGCUGGUUGUUGCUCCUGGGCUCAUCACUGUUAUCCUGGUUUUCUCCGUGAUCCAGUUCAAACCAGCGCGAUAUGAGAACUACGUCUUCCCUCCCUGGGCUCAGGGGGUCGGCUGGGUCAUCGCCAUGGGCUCCAUCAUCUGGAUUCCUCUGGGUGCCGUUCACACCUUGUGGGUGCUACCUGGCUCGCUCGUACAGAAACUGAAGCUGUCCAUCACUCCGUUCGCCCUGAAUGAAAUAUCAAAAAUGCCGUAUUAUGAGAGGGGAGGAACAGACGUCGCUGUCAUCAGCUCCAACAUCCAUCUACCUGAAAAACGUCCCGCUCAGACAAACCUGUGAUACCUCCGUGCGCCGCACAGUGUUCACCGAGCCACGAGAGUGGCCCAUUUAUUUAAUCACAACAUUGUUUGCCAUUCGUUUUAAAUCUGUGACAAACCUCUGGU